UGGUUAUCAAAACUAAAACCUAUGAUGUACCACACUCAAGGAUCUAAGAAGUCGAGCCAAUGUGUUGACAAUUUUUCAGACUUAGACUUUCUUGGAGAUAACUCUACCGACUCGGAUGAAGCCAUACAAUAUUGGAGAGAAUUAUGAAACUCAAAAGCAAUACAAUUUUGCUGAGCAAGAAUCCAAUUUCAUUAUUACAGAGGGCUUCAACAUAUUUAAAUAUUGCAAGGAGACACAUAAAGAGUUUGGACUUCAGUAAGGGAAUCUAGUUGGAACUGUGGAGAUGUGUUUGUGAAUAAAAUUAUUUUGUCAAUGACUAAUUUAAGAAAACUUUAUUUUUAAAUUUUAUAAUAA